rnacentral:rRNA from 1 species
GACGAACGCUGGCGGCGUGCUUAACACAUGCAAGUCGAACGGUGAAGCGCCUUCCUUUUUGGUUGGUGUGGAUGAGUGGCGAACGGGUGAGUAACACGUGCGUAACCUUCCCCCUUCUUCUGGAUCACCGCAUUAAAGUUUGUCUAAUACGGGAUAUUCUGGGUCUUUCUCAUGGUGGGUCUGGGAAAGAUAUUGUUUCGGUGGGGGAUGGGCUCGCGGCCUAUCAGCUUGUUGGUGGGGUGAUGGCCUACCAAGGCGGUGCCGGGUAGCCGGCCUGGGAGGGUGGACGGUCAGACUGGGACUGAGACACGGCCGAGACUGCUACGGGAGGCAGCAGUGGGGAAUAUUGCACAGUGGGCGCAAGUCUGAUGCAGCGACGCGGCGGGAGGGAUGAAGGCGUUCGGGUUGUGAACCUCUUUCGCCAGUGAAGCAGGCUUGCCUCGUUUGUGGGUGGGUUGACGGUAGCUGGAUAAGAAGCGCCGGCUAACUACGUG